rnacentral:rRNA from 1 species
UCUCUAUGCGGUGCCAGCAGCCGCGGUAAUACGGAGGAUCCAAGCGUUAUCCGGAUUUAUUGGGUUUAAAGGGUGCGUAGGCGGCGUUGUAAGUCAGUGGUGAAAGUUUGCAGCUUAACUGUAAAAUUGCCAUUGAUACUGCAGUGCUUGAGUACAGAUGAGGUGGGCGGAAUGUGUCAUGUAGCGGUGAAAUGCAUAGAUAUGACACAGAACACCGAUUGCGAAGGCAGCUCACUAAACUGUAACUGACGCUGAGGCACGAAAGCGUGGGGAUCAAACAGGAUUAGAUACCCUGGUAGUCCACGCCCUAAACGAUGAUUACUCGAUGUUAGCGAUAUACAGUUAGCGUCAAAGCGAAAGCGUUAAAGUAAUCCACCUGGGGAGUACGCCGGCAACGGUGAAACUCAAAUGAAUUGACGGG